GAGACAUCAUGCCAAAGAAAAAGCUUCUAACUUUAUCUUAAGCGGUUAAAUUCCGUUAAUGUCUCA
rnacentral:tRNA from 1 species